rnacentral:lncRNA from 1 species
GCAGAGGGAAGACCCUCACUCGAACAUAGAAGAAAAGGAGAGAUGAAAAGAGAAAGCGACGAACUACGCCAGCGAUAAGUGAAAACGAACUACAUCAAAGGCACAAGGGACCUCGUCUCAACGAGGAAGAAAAUCCUUGUCGAAAAUCUCUAGUCCCUAAGGGCGAAUCAGCACAGUGACGAUCGGGAACCUUCAGACAACGCCGACAUCGAGCA